UCUUUGGGCGUAGUAAACAACGAAAUGCUUUGGAGAGUUGAAAAUAAGUGUAGAUCCGGAGAUUUCCGAAUAGGUCAACAUUUCGAACUGCUGCUGAAUCCAUGGGCAGGCAAGAGACAACCUAGCGAACUGAAACAUCUUAGUAGCCAAAGGAAAAAAAAGCAAAAGCGAUUCCCGUAAUAGCGGUGAGCAAAAUGGGAGUAGCCUAAACGGUGAAAACGGGGUUGUGGGAGAGCAAUACAAGCGUUGUGCUGCUAGGCGAAGCAGUGGAAUGCUGCACCAUAGAUGGUGAGAGUCCAGUAGCCGAAAGUAUUACUAGCUUACGCUCUGACCCGAGUAGAAUGGACAUGUGGAAUCCCGUGUGAAUCAGCAAGCUCUCCCUCACGUCCCCCUCCCCCUCCCCCUCCCCUUCCGGGCCAGA
rnacentral:ncRNA from 1 species